GAUGAACGCUGGCGGCGUGCCUAAUACAUGCAAGUCGAGCGAACAGACGAGGAGCUUGCUCCUCUGACGUUAGCGGCGGACGGGUGAGUAACACGUGGAUAACCUACCUAUAAGACUGGGAUAACUUCGGGAAACCGGAGCUAAUACCGGAUAACAUGUUGAACCGCAUGGUUCAACAGUGAAAGACGGUCUUGCUGUCACUUAUAGAUGGAUCCGCGCCGCAUUAGCUAGUUGGUAAGGUAACGGCUUACCAAGGCAACGAUGCGUAGCCGACCUGAGAGGGUGGUCGGCCACACUGGAUCUGAGACACGGUCCAGACUCCUACGGGAGGCAGCAGUAGGGAAUCUGCCGCAAUGGGCGAAAGCCUGACGGAGCAACGCCGCGUGAGUGAAGAAGGUCUUCGGAUCGUAAAACUCUGUUAUUAGGGAAGAACAAAUGUGUAAGUAACUGUGCACGUCUUGACGGUACCUAAUCAGAAAGCCACGGCUAACUACGUG
rnacentral:rRNA from 1 species